CCCAACAGCUUUUGUGCCAUGGGGUGAUACCGAAGUGGCUGAGAACCCAAAAGCUCAAGCUGAGCUGUUGAGUGGGGUCUGCUGACACGGUGGUGGCUGUUGAUACCCAGCACUGCUGCUCUUGUGGCAUCCUGUGGGAAAAUGUGGGAUCUGUCCCCUCCCCAGACCCAGGGUGCUGCUCACCCUCCUGGAGCCAGUCAGGAGGUGACAGCCCCAUCCUCCCCUCUCCUCUCACCCAGGCUGUCAGAUCCAAGUCAGGGAUAAUGAAUGGGCUGUUAGAGAAGACUGAAAAAAGAGAUAAAAUGAAGGAGAAAAGAGCUUCUGGUUGGAGCCACACAGGACAGACACUGACAAUCAAAACUCAUGGCUGCACACAGAUGUGGUCCCCACCUCUCUCUUGCUCCCUGUAUGGAUUUUGCUGCCUAUCUCACCACUUCUGAACAAUAUUAUUUAAAAAAAAAACCCAUGACCUGAGUAGCAACCACUCUCCUGCCUACCCAACAGUGCCCUAUAAACACAGGCCUUAUAAACACGGCCUGCAAAAUGUUCAGUGGAGUUUCUGCACUUGCAACAGGAGCCCAGGGCAGGGAUGAAGUCACCUUGAACUGAAUUCCCCCCAAAACCCCUGCUGGGGUUUCAAACCUCUGAUUUGGGCUUUGUCAGAUACAAACCAGAGCAGAAAGAUGUCUUAGACAAAAGGAGCAGGACUUGCUGUGUGGGACAAAGGAAGGAAAGCAGGCUGGGGGUGGCUGUAGUUAACACUUCUGCUCCUGAAGGCCUUUCAGACCCUGCAGCCAGGUGUGCUCAGAGACACCCACAUGCCCUAUUUCAAGGUCAACAUCAACUACAAAACUCCUGGUGUCCAGAUUUAGACUGGAAUCCAAAACACAUGAGGGACAAGUUAAUUCUGCCUGUGAUAAAAGGGAGGGGGGAGGCUGGCCAGCAGAUUUUGCUGUCGUUCCAGUAGCAAGUGGAAAGUCAAGGACUAUCCCCAAAGGAGGCCUAAUCAGGCCACAGAAUCACAAUUCGGGUUUCCACUUGGCAGGAAAUAUGUGUUAAAGCUAAAUGGAUUUCCUUUGGUAAAGCAGAAGCUUAACUGAGACAACACAGUGUUUUAACACACUUUUAAAGUAAUAAAAAUUGUUGUUGAGGCUCUGCA
rnacentral:lncRNA from 1 species